UACGUAGGGCGCAAGCGUUAUCCGGAAUUAUUGGGCGUAAAGAGCUCGUAGGCGGUUUGUCGCGUCUGCCGUGAAAGUCCGGGGCUCAACUCCGGAUCUGCGGUGGGUACGGGCAGACUAGAGCGAUGUAGGGGAGACUGGAAUUCCUGGUGUAGCGGUGAAAUGCGCAGAUAUCAGGAGGAACACCAAUAGCGAAGGCAGCUCGCUGGGACGUUACUGACACUGAGGCGCGAAAGCGUGGGGAGCGAACAGG
rnacentral:rRNA from 1 species